rnacentral:lncRNA from 1 species
GUCUUAUUUUAAGAAAUUGCCACAACCACCCCAACCUUUGGCAACCACUACCCUGGUCAGGUAGUAGUGUUGCGAUGGUGUUUGAUAGCAUUUUACUCACAGUAGAACUUCUUUCAAACUUGGAGUCAAUCCUGUCAAACCCUGCCACUGCUUUAUCAACUAAGGUAGCAGCCAUCAACAUUGAGGCAAGACCUUCCACCAGCAAAAAGAUUAUGACUCAGUGAAGGUUCAGAUGGUUAACUUUUUUUUUUUUUUUUUGAGAAAGAGUCUCCCUUUGUUACCCAGGCUGGAGUGCAGUGGCAGGAUCUCAGCUCACUGCAGCCUUGAACUCCCGGGCUCAAGUGAUCCUCCCACCUCACUUUUGAGUAGCUGAGACAACAGGUGUGUACCACCAUGCCUGGCUAAUUUUUUUUGUUUUCUUCCUUUAUUUAUUUUUUUUGUAGAGAUGGGGUUUCACCAUGUUGCCCAGGUUGGUCUUGAGCUCUUGAGCUCAAGUGAUCCUUCUGCCUCAGCCUCCCAAAGUGCUGGGAUUACAGGUAUGCACCGCCUGUGCCUGGCCCCGAUUGUUAGCAUUUUAUAGCCGUAAAGUAUUUUAAAAUUAAGGUGUAUAUAUUUUUUAAAAGAAAUAAUGCUAUUGCACGCUUUAUAGACUACAGUAUAAUGUAAAUAUAACUUUUAUAUGCACUGGGAAACCAAAACAUUUGUGUGACUUGCUUUAUUGCAAUAUUCCUACUAUUGUGGUUGUCUGGAACCAAACCUGCAAUAUGUCUGAGGUAUGCCUCUAGAUCAAUGGAAUAGAAGAGAGUUCAGAAAUAGACCUGCACAAACAUAGUCAGUUGAUCUUUGACAAAGUAGCAAAGGAAAUACAAUGGAGAAAAGAUAGUCAACAAAUGGUGCUGAAGCAACUGGAUAUCCACACGGGGAAAAACAAUCUAGACACAGGCCUUACAUUCUUUACAAAAUGU